GUAAGUAAAUAUUGUGCUUUAAAAAUAUUUAUUUCUAUUAAAAAUAGUAAGAAAUAUAAUUAGAAUAAAUUUAAAAAUAAGUAAAUAAUGAUUAUGGUCUCUAAAGAAGUACAUGUAUCUGUAUGAUAGCUACACGAGAUAAAAUGAUUAGUUAUAGUAGUGAAAAUGUGUGCACGUAGAUAGUUAAAACUUUACCAGCAUAACUAAAUAACUAAAUAAAUUUAAUUAACUGUUGACGUUAUGAAUAAAGGUUAUAAAAAAUUGAAUAUGGCAAAUACUUUAAUAAAUAACUGUGGUAGCACAUGUUGCAAUCGCAUUAUAUUAAUUAUAAUUUUACUGUAGACACAAGUUUUAGCAUUUCUAAUAAUAUUGUGCCAUUGUAGAUCCGAAAAUCGAGUUUCUGAAUUAACUUUUAAGUAGAAAUAUUCGAAAUUCUACUAUUCAAAUUUCUUUUUUUAUCAUAAAAUUUAAUUUUGGGUAAAUCGGUGUUUGAAUUGUUAUAACUAUUGCUUUGAAAAAUAAUGUUUUGGAAAAAUGCGCUCAAAGUUUAACAAUACUUUUUCAGUGUGAUUUUUGUACCUUACUUGUUUAACAAAUAUUUUUGAAACGAAAACGUUAUUUAUCUUUUUGAAUAAAAGUUUUUUACAUAAUGUUGCAAAGUGUAGUCCUGUUUUUGUAUCCGCUGAAAUCUUAUAAUUUCUUAAUUAAAAAAGCGUCUGCAAUUUUGCAGGAAGACUCAAUGACUUUUUGCUCAUUCGCGUAUACCGCGUGUUCUUUUAUUAUCGUCGUCUUUCGAGAACAGCUUUCAGAAACGGAUUUUUCGCGACGUCCUCUCUCUGGUAGCCUUAUCCUGCGAAGAACGCGAUUGACAACGCUGCCCUCGACGUUGCAUUCGACGAAGUAAAUGAGACGUCGAUGUUCGACACCGUCGCACUGUCAUCGACGAUUUUAUGUCCGCGCAGUCCGGCAUCGAUCAUCCGUGUUAUCGGUAUCUCGAUCCUGGAACCGGUCAGAGGACAGAGGACAGUAAACGAGCCUCGGCAUCGAUCAUGGGGAUCUAGGAAUCCAUCGGUCGCCGCCGUCACGCCUCAUCGGCUUUCAGAAUGAACGAUCUUCGAAUGUGACUGGAACACGCGCGAGUUUGUUCCCCCAUUGAUUUUGAUAGAAGAUCGAAAAUAGCUUCACGGUUCCGGCGCCCUUCUCGAUCUCAGACUCGUGCGCCCGUGAAACUGAUAUUUGGAUAAAUGGGUACUGGAUGGCUGUUGAGAGCUUCUCAGAAUCGAUACGUAUCGAUAGAGUUCCGUGGGAAAUCUAUAAAGAUCGUCAAAUCUACAGGAUCUGAGGUUUUAAUAAUAAAUAAUAACCGAUAACAUACAAUAAAUAAUAUUGACGUAUUUUCAACUACAUUUCCAUAAUUUUGAAGAUUGGUUAAUUUACUUGGCAGAUUUGAGUAAAAGAAACAGUGUUAAUCGGUUGAGAAGUUUGCUUAUCUUGAAAUGAAUAAAAUUUUCAAAAAUUAUUGUCUAUCCGAUGACUGAACUAUCAACAUUAAUUCGUUUUUAAGUUUUUAUAUUUAUUAUUCAGUUAGUAACAUUUCAUUAUCACUCGUGUUUAUGUGUCCUUAAAAUUUGAGAAUGUACGAAUAAGAUUUUGAGAGAGAGAGAGAAAAAAAGAUUUGAAAAAAGAUUUAAGUUGAAAAUACGAACAGCUCUAUUAAUAUAAAAGAUUUGUUCUUAAAAGAAUUUUAUAGAAUAUAUAUAAAUCAACAAGUAGUACAUUUAUUGCUGAUAUAAAGUACUUAAAUUCGGAAUUCUUGAAUUAGAGAUUUUUGUUAAUACUGAUUAUCUCCCAGGACUUUUAUGUCUCACUGGUAUUUAUGUCAUCGAUAAUUUCAUUAAAGUCCUAGUCAAUAAAUAAUUGCGCGAAAUAUUCGAUAAAACUAAUUAAAGUUGAAAAUAAUCCGACGUUUCUAAAUUUGAGAAAAAUCGCAAUUUACGAAAGUUCAUUAAAGUCCUCGGCUUGAAAGAGGAAAAUAGCGAGCACAGGUGAAUUCGGCGCGUCAAAGAAUCCUACUCGUCCGGAUGGGCGACGAUCAAAAAAAGAGAAGAAAGACGCGCAGACAAUUAACGAAUUAAUUAAGACUUUAUUCCGAGUGAGUAAUUCCGACUGCCGACGCCGGGCAGUGCGUCGACAUAAAACGCGCGUUUGGUUAAUUAAUGGCCGCGGACGGCGACGGGAGUUAUGCAAGCUAUGUAGAUAACGGCCGGCGAGCCGUUGAUGAUAACGCGUCGACGGGGAUUUGUUUAUUUCGAUCUGCCAAUCCUAUUGCAGAAUUUGAGCGCCGGCUCAAUUCAGCAGCUUCAUACGGCGACAUACGGCAUCUUCAACGGCGUCAUUUUAUUACUAUUAAUUUACACGUCUAAUUUCGUUUCUCGUUUAAUUCACGUCUAAUUUCUUUACACAUUCGCAACAUACAUAGUUUCGAGAGAACGUUCCGUAAUCUGAAAUGCAUUUCGUCCGACCGGGUCGCGUCUAACUCUUCACCUAUAUCUCUCCUCCUCCAUCGUAAUUUCACGUUAGAGAGCUUCCUUAUCGCGAUAAAAGGAUUCUCCGAAAGUCUUUCCGCGAGGCCGCGAGAAAGUGUAAAAAGGAAUGUCGCCCCCGCCGCGUGACAUUUAUUUCCUGGUGCCGGUCGCUCAUUAGACUUCGCUUCCUGAUUUUUUUAAUGCGCCCGUCUCGCUCUUCCGCCACGCGCGGAUACACUUCACCUCGUCACUUCACUUUCCGUCAGACGCGACUCGUCCCGUGUCUUACCGACUCGUGAACCGACUCUGACGGUUUACCGGAGUCCUUUCUCGUGCGAGAUGCGCAGCUCGCACGGCCACCCUUUUGCUACCUCUUUUUUUCUUCGUUCUAGCGCAAAACCCUCUCGUGCUCGAACACCGCGUCACGAGAGACCUCAAACGUCGAUGCGUUUGCGCGACUUUUGAAGCAGACUCCUCGACGGAGAGAUUUUGUAGUAGGCGCAGAGGACGAGUCUUCAUCACGACUGGAGCGAUUACUUAAGGGAAACACUCGGUUGCCUCUAGCUAAACUUGAAUCACUGAAGAUCUGACUGACUCUAGAUUUCUGCCCGGCGUUUCUCGUGACAAAAACUCAUAUUUUAUUUUGAAAUGUGAAGCUGUCCAUUUCAAUUGUUAAAUCUACCAAUAUUUAUUAUUGAUUUCUAUAUUUAAAAUUAUAUUUAUAUAAAAUUAUAAACCAACCAUAAAGUUGAACCGAAAAAAUAGGUAAUUUUAUUUCUUUUUUAAUUUGAGAAAUCUUUACGUUAAAAAUUACGAAAAAUAUAAUGUUAUAUAAGAGUUCUGUAAAAUCUACUGACAAAGUUUUCAAACUAAAGAUUACAUGAUAAUAUCUACUAUCUAGUCUAUCAUCAUCUUUUGCUAUUAUUUGUUUUUAUUUAUGUAAAUAUUGUUAACUCGAUGUGUUAAAAUUACACUUGUAAUCGCAAGCAAUUUGCCCAUGAUUCUACAGAUUUGCUAUCAAAUUUUACUUAUCGUGUGAACAGUUCAUACUUUCUAAUAAAAAUAAAAAUACUGGAAACAUUAUUGCGUCUUUCGCUGCAUUGAUUGUGAAGUGACGCAUCUCCGAUUACCUGAAACUUUGGUAUUAGCAGUUUAAAACAUUACCUAUGGUCUUGAAAUAACAACAGAUUGGUGAAUGCCAGACAAAAGCAAACAACCUGUGGUUGGCGAAGUAAUUCAUUGGCGUCUCACAAAACGGCAAUUAUUCGAAGAUCACAUGCGUACAUUCAAGCGGAUAUCAUCAAUCCGUGUUCAUUCAUCAAACUGUGAUUACUAAUUCAACCGUCUGGAUCCUCUAGAAAGAUCGAACGUCUCUGUACGUGCUGUUCCUCUCGCUGCAGUUCAUCUCCCUCAUCCUCUCUUUUUUUCUUUCGUUCCCUCGGAGAAAGGGAGCGAGAGCACUCGUGUGCGCACGCGCUUGUGGGAUAUUUGCGGGUUCCGUUUUUCUCCGCCACCCACUGGGUGCUGUUGACGUCACGCCCGGAUACCAUUCGACAAGGGGCGCCGCUCUUCUGGGCCAAUAAUUCAGACUUCAAGGCGCGGCCGCGAAGAUCGCCGUGACGGAGUAUCAAAAGCCACGUGCUCACCCUCCGCUCGUUCCCUCAUCCCUCGCCCCUUAGCUGGUCAAAGCGGAGCACCGAAGCGAAAGAGAGUCGGAAGAGUAGAGAGAAGCACGGGGGAGAAAGAGAAGAAGAGAGAGAGAGAGAGAGAGAGAGAUGCACAAUGCACGAUGCUAUUUAUUCAUACCCUGUAGCGCGUAGUCCCUUAAAUACGUUGAAUAAACCUAAAUAGGGUGCAUCGUGAAAGCUAUAGCUUAGUGGGAUUUCUUGAACGUCUAAAAUUAUUAAAAUUUUAAUAAAGCGAGCUCGAAAUUUUAAUUUACGUCUAACUUUAAAAAAUUUUAUUAUAUGUUGCGAUUGCAAGAAGAUUAAAAAGAAACUUCUCUCAAAAAUUAAAAAACCUGAAAUGCUUCGGGAUCUUUUGAGAAUUUAAAAUUCACAAAUGUUAUACUUUUUUAAUAAUAAUUUUCAAUUAAAUGCCUAUCUCUUUGCAGAAGACCAAGGAAUUCGAGUUUUCACAAACCGAUAAGAGAAAAUUGAUAAACAUAUCUAAAUAAAGAUAAGGUAACAGACUGCAAGAGAGACGGUGCUAUAGACGAAGCGAAAUGACGGAGCCGUCACGAAGAACUGUAGAAAAAAAGUAAAAAAGUUCCACUGCCGAUUCGAGCGGCGCUGCACAGACCGGGGUGCCGUUAGAGAGCCGCGCGUGAAGAAUUCUGGAGGAGCAGGAGAUAGAGCAGAAACGGAGAGGAGGGAGAGAGGGUGAGAGAGAGAAAGAGAGGAAACUUCCUCCGAGUGACAAAUAACCGCGCGGAUUCCACGGAUCCGCACGGUGAGCAAAAUCCGCGCUAAUUAGCAGCUCACGAGCACGCCGCCGAAAAGAGAGACGAAGUGAAAAGGGAAGAGAAAGGCUGGAAGAGAGAGAGAGAGAGAGAGAGAGAGAAAAGAGAGAAGGCGAGGCGCGAGAGUCACAUGUAUAGACCACGGUGUCGCGCUUAGGAGAGCGGCGGCGAGGGCGGAAGAAAGAGCACUUACAGGACUCAAGAGAGACGGCGAAGGGCGAGGGGGAAUCCCCACGUCGCAAGAUGGCACGACCGGGACAUUUGAAUAUAUAUCGGCGCGGGGACAGUGAGCAAUGUUGCACCUGCCGCUACGAGUCAGCGUAAUAGCUGCGAGAUGUCACGGGCAGUACAAGCGUGAACAAAAUUCGGCGCGGACCAUCGUUUUUCCGGCGGUGGAGUCGUCCCGACCUCUUCAACGAUAAUUCGCGCGACAGAGUCGAUGAAUUCUCCGCGUUUGCGCUAAGGUCGGUUUCAUCUCCCAUCGGAACGUAUGCCAUCAUCGAUCACGCGUCGGCGGGUCCGAAACGUUAAUCUCUAGGGGUGCAAGGUGAAGAUUCGAAAGUGCCCAGGCCCAGGAGAGACCGUUACCGCUCCGCCUCCCUCUUUUCGGUUUAAUUAAUUGGCCGUAACUCAGGAAAACCGUAAAUCUCGAAUCGCAUUUAUACAAGCACGCGCCGUUGGGCUCGAAAGAAUGGGCUCGUAGGUGGCGAUUGUCUCGGGGGCCCACGCGACGCCGUGUAGGUGUGCAGAAACCGGCUCGACACGAAAAAUGUUCCCCCGGCCGCGCCGGGCAAAACUCGACUACUUUGUUGCGCCGAUACACCAUUCUCUUCCCCUCCCUCUGCUUCGCAAGAAACAUGGGGGAUGAUUUUUAAAUUAAUGCAACGUGUAUCUCGUCUUUCUCAAUUACAUCGAAAUGCACCCACGGAUUUUCGGCAUCAGAAGUCAGUUUAUUAAUAACAAAUAGAAGUAAAAAUAUUUAUCAGCAAAUAGAAAUAGCUUCGAUAUAUUGAUUUUUCCAGAUUUAAUUAAGUAAAACUUACUUAAAGUUUUAUUCACUUCAAUUAUGACAAUUUUGCUAAAAUUUCUAUACGUUUGUAUUAGUAAAAACAUAAUUAUAUUAUUAUUAAAAAGUCAUGUUUUAUUAAAUACUAAAUGAUAUAUUUUAUUAUUGUUAACUGCUUUAUCAAUGUGAUAUUGAUCAUCCAAGAACUUGCGCUGUACAUUGCAACAAGGAAAGAGACAUUUCUUCAAAGAGGAUGGUAAGCGAUGGAUCGAAAACGGCGAGGAGGGAACUUAGUAGCUGGUUUCAUGUCGUCCGGUCCGUGGUACGGCAUCAUCAAUCAUAUCUCGAGGAACACACCGUCGGAAAGAAUGAAGAGUGCGAGCAGCACGCAAGGAACAACAAGUAGGACCAGGAGGACAAGAGAAACUUUCGAAAGUUUCGAGCUGGAGGAGAAAUAUUGUAUCACGUGUCCAGCGGACCACACGUGAUUUCGUCGACGUCCCUAACAUUCACGAACAUUAAUAAUAUAAAGGGUCCUUUGUCCCCCGAUAAAUCGAGAUUUUGCACUUAUUAACUUGGAUUAAGGAAUAAGAUAGAUAGAGUUUUAUACAUCUUCCUUUAUGAACGCUAUCGCGAAACGUUUAAGAGUAGAAUAUAUAAAAAAAGAAGAACAGGAGUGUACAAAAAAGACUGUUAAUUUAGCAAAUUAAAAAUUGUAAUCUCGUGCCGAUUUUAAAGAAUCGAGUCAGACCGCGCGGUCUACGGAGCACGUGUUUCACAGCUGGGAGAGGAUGAAAUGGCAAGACAGAUCUAUCGGGGCCCCCCAAUAAAGUUUCAGCCGAGGCGUGAGCCGCAUCGAUGCCACGACGAUCUCGUCGAGGGGGGGCCCCGGCGGGCGCGCCACGGGGUUCUCGCUACCCGCCAGCUUUACAAACCUCUUUACAGAUCGUUAUUCGUCCGAUCACGGGGCCACACAUAAAUCGGGACCCGAGCGCGCGGGGCGGCAGGGUGGGAAGAAGACGCCUGUGCGCCUGCAACGUAUCGCGAGCACAGCGGAUCGCGCGUGUGCGAGAAUAACGCCUCGUUACUUCAAACCUCGGAAUGAAAAACUUAUUCCGAUCGGCCGGGGGUCAAGGCUGUCGUAAAUAUGAUCCGCGGGUACCUGCUGGGCGCCUUCCCCGAGGGAGAGCGCCCUUUGCGCGGCGGAUUCCGUGGGACGAAGCGCGAAAGACGGGAUACGGCGGAGCCGAGAACGGGAAUGCAGCGGGUUGGCGCUUAAUUUCGCGAAAUCGGGAGAGAAAGUACGGCCUCCGAGCAGGAAAAAUGAAAGGGUAAAAUUCGCAGCCACGUACUCGAGUUUCAGAAAAUUAUACAGGCAGCAAAAGUUAGCCGAGAAUCAAACGGCAUAUGCAUAACUUAAGGAGAUUUAUAAAAACACAAGCUUUUUUAGCUUAUUUUGUGACUCUCAAAAUUUAGACUGUAUGUCAAACAAGACUAUAUGAUAGCAUAUUAAUAUGAAAAAUGUUAUAAGUUGAGUAUAUAGAAAUAGUUUUUGAGAUACGAGGAGUUAAAAGACCAUAAGAUUCCUAAUGUUGCUCAAGCGUAACAGAAAGAAAGUUAAAACUACUUUUACAACAAUGGAAUUUGUACUAAGGUUAGUCAAAAAUAUAAUUUUCCAAUUGUCGUUAAAAAUCCAUCUCCUUCACAUUGUUUAAUUUUUUUAAAGGAAUAAAACUACCCUGCCCCUCAAAAGUUUUGAAUCCUUAUUAAUAAUUUGUGACAAAUUAUGUAAAAAAAUUGAAUAAAUUAAACAAUAUGCUACUGUAGAGUAAAAUUUGCAAAAGCUGUUAUUACAAUCUCAGUAAAUAAUCAUACAUCUCAACAAUUUAAACAAAAGCUGAAUGCACCUGAUCUGUUUGUUUACUAUGAAAGAACCAAUUGUUAUACAUGAUGUACAUUUAACUGCAAAUGUAUUAAUAAAGUGCUUUCAGGUACCUUCUAAAAUAAUUCACGAGCUGCUUAUGAAUUAUGAAUUUAUCUCUAAUCACAACGCUCAUAUGUGUAGUGAAUAUAUGUAUUUUUAUCCAUUAGUCACUUAUUAAACGAAUCACAAAAAAGUGUUGUUGAAUUAUUAAUAAUCUCAUGUUUGAAUAUUAAUAGGAAUUAAAAGCAAAGUAAUGGUAGGUAUUUGGUAGAUAACAUUAAUUCAAUUGAUAAUGAGACAUUAAAAAACUGAUUUACUUAGAAUAAAGAACAAUUUUAGCUUAUAUAACAGUUGGUUUUGUAAAACAUUUGAAUCAAAGAACGUAGCUGUUUUUUUCUGCAAAAUACGAACCGCUCUUGCUAAUAAUCAAUUUGCUUUUUUGUUUGAAAUCUGUUCGCAGAUCAAUGCCAAUUAUUCGGAUUCAGCAAGACAGGCUCUUUUGAAAAGUCCAGUUACAAAGUUUAUCAAUAAAAAAGAUCGCUUUGUGCUGAUUGCUCACAAUACAUCAAUGUCAAAAAUAUAGUUUGACAUUUCCAAUGAUAAAGCUUGCAUUGUGUUUGAUUCCACCUAUUGUUUUAUACAGAAAUCAGUUAAUAACGACACUUGUUUUUGCAGUAAUAGUUUUUAAAAUAAACUUUUUUAUUUACAGAAACUGUCUUUCUUUAGAGAAAUUUAGCAAAAACUUUUUUUGAGGUGGUUUUAUCCCUUUAAAUAAAUUUUAAAAAAUACAAGCAACAGUGAAUUUGAUUUUUAAUAUGGUACUUGAACAGUCAUUUUGAUUAUUAAAAAACUUAUUUCUACAAUCUAUCAGUAUAAAAAACAAGCUUAUACUGCUAGAUUGUAGAGAUCAAUGCUGGGAAAAA